CACCAACAGAUCCACACCAGAAAGACUCUACAAGUGCAGUUACUGUGAGAAGCAGAGCGACACAGAUGGAUCAAGUUCUCAACCCUAUCAUCGCUGUGGGAAAGACUUUUGUUGUGACCUUUGUGGAAAAACUUUAAGUCAUUGAAGGACUCUGAAAAUACAUCAACGUAGACACACUGGAGACAAAAUGAACUACUGUAAAGAAUGCGGGAGAGGCUUCACCACUUCAAAGGACUUCAAACAAUAUGAACUCCUUCACAGUGGCGUUAAAAAGCAUGUCUGCGAUCAGUGUGGGUCAUCCUUCAUCAGUGCACGUCAGCUUGAAAAGCAUAAACGAGUCCACACAUGAGAGAAACCAUACAAGUGCAGACACUGUCACAAAACCUUUUCACAAUCAUGUGAUCAUACUAAGCAUGAACGCAGACACAUGAAAGAGAACUUCAUCUGUGAAAGAUUUUGAGUAAUCUCAGUUCAUACUCCACUCAGAAACGAUUCCAUGUUACAAAUAAACUGUUACGUCUUGAUUCCUGCUUUUACGUUAAUCUUGUAAACAGUACAUUUGCAUAACCACUGAAACCGGCCCAAUGAAUGAACAAUGGGCUUGAGGUCAAUUUCUUCAUCAUUAAUAUGCAAAUUCUUAUGAGCAUUGAUCAACAACCACUGGUCAAUGGCCAUGAGUACCAUUCACAGAGUAAAAAUUUGCAUAAUGAUUAUGAAGUUUACUGUUACCAAUGUUCAAAAACAUUUACUAA